UGCCAGCCGCCGCGGUAAUACGGAGGGUGCAAGCGUUGUUCGGAAUUACUGGGCGUAAAGCGCGCGUAGGCGGCUAUUUAAGUCAGAGGUGAAAUCCUACAGCUUAACUGUAGAACUGCCUUUGAUACUGAUAACCUUGAGUCCGGGAGAGAGAGAUGGAAUUCCAGGUGUAGUGGUGAAAUACGUAGAUAUCUGGAAGAACACCAGAGGCGAAGGCGAUCUCUUGGCCCGUGACUGACGCUGAGGCUCGAAAGCGUGGGUAGCGAACAGGAUUAGAUA
rnacentral:rRNA from 1 species